UACGUAGGGCGCAAGCGUUAUCCGGAAUUAUUGGGCGUAAAGAGCUCGUAGGCGGUUUGUCGCGUCUGCCGUGAAAGUCCGGGGCUCAACUCCGGAUCUGCGGUGGGUACGGGCAGACUAGAGUGUGGUAGGGGAGACUGGAAUUCCUGGUGUAGCGGUGAAAUGCGCAGAUAUCAGGAGGAACACCGGUGGCGAAGGCGGGUCUCUGGGCCGAUACUGACGCUGAGAAGCGAAAGCGUGGGGAGCGAACAGG
rnacentral:rRNA from 1 species